rnacentral:rRNA from 1 species
UACGUAGGGUGCAAGCGUUAAUCGGAAUUACUGGGCGUAAAGCGUGCGCAAGGGGUUCGCUAAGACAGAUGUGAAAUCCCCGGGCUUAACCUGGGAACUGCAUUUGUGACUGGCGGGCUAGAGUAUGGCAGAGGGGGGUAGAAUUCCACGUGUAGCAGUGAAAUGCGUAGAUAUCUGGAGGAACACCGGUGGCGAAGGCGGCAUCCUGGACCGGCAUUGACGCUGAGGAGCGAAAGCCAGGGGAGCAAACGGG